rnacentral:lncRNA from 1 species
GGGCCCUGGUCUUCCUGUACUCUGUGCCAGAGCCGUAGCAUGGGGCCCUGGUCUUCCUGUCUGGGGCUAAUUGGGUCAUCCAAUAUUCACCCACAUCAACAACAAAUGAUGCAAUGCGGCAUAUUCGUGAAACUAAUGCAAACAUCCUAUAACAUGAUCAUGAUGCAUGAAACAUGAUAAAAGCAUUUAAUUUCUUAGUUCAAAAGAU